rnacentral:rRNA from 1 species
UACGUAGGGCGCAAGCGUUAUCCGGAAUUAUUGGGCGUAAAGAGCUCGUAGGCGGUUUGUCGCGUCUGCCGUGAAAGUCCGGGGCUCAACUCCGGAUCUGCGGUGGGUACGGGCAGACUAGAGUGAUGUAGGGGAGACUGGAAUUCCUGGUGUAGCAGUGAAAUGCGCAGAUAUCAGGAGGAACACCGAUGGCGAAGGCAGGUCUCUGGGCCACUACUGACGCUGAGACGCGAAAGCGUGGGGAGCAAACAGG